UUUUUGUGAAAUCCGCUAGUAACGUUAGCUUUUAGCAGCCGUUGGGCAGCACGGUCCUGCUUGGCUUAAUAACGGAGCUACUAACGUUAACAGA